UGGCGAACGGGUGAGUAACACGUGAGUAACCUGCCCUUGACUUUGGGAUAACUUCAGGAAACUGGGGCUAAUACCGGAUAGGAGCUCCUGCUGCAUGGUGGGGGUUGGAAAGUUUCGGCGGUUGGGGAUGGACUCGCGGCUUAUCAGCUUGUUGGUGGGGUAGUGGCUUACCAAGGCUUUGACGGGUAGCCUGCCUGAGAGGGUGACCGGCCACAUUGGGACUGAGAUACGGCCCAG
rnacentral:rRNA from 1 species